rnacentral:ribozyme from 2 species
GCUAUAAUGCAACCUUUGAGAGUUCCAAGUCUCUAUGAAAAAUGCAGAGGAUAGC